rnacentral:rRNA from 1 species
GACGAACGCUGGCGGCGUGCUUAACACAUGCAAGUCGAACGGAAAGGCCCUGCUUUUGUGGGGUGCUCGAGUGGCGAACGGGUGAGUAACACGUGAGUAACCUGCCCUUGACUUUGGGAUAACUUCAGGAAACUGGGGCUAAUACCGGAUAGGAGCUCCUGCUGCAUGGUGGGGGUUGGAAAGUUUCGGCGGUUGGGGAUGGACUCGCGGCUUAUCAGCUUGUUGGUGGGGUAGUGGCUUACCAAGGCUUUGACGGGUAGCCGGCCUGGGAGGGUGACCGGCCACAUGGGGACUGAGAUACGGCCCAGACUCCUACGGGAGGCAACAGUGGGGAAUAUUGCACAAUGGGCGGAAGCCUGAUGCAGCAACGCCGCGUGCGGGAUGACGGCCUUCGGGUUGUAAACCGCUUUCGCCUGUGACGAAGCGUGAGUGACGGUAAUGGGUAAAGAAGCACCGGCUAACUACGU